GACGAACGCUGGCGGCGUGCUUAACACAUGCAAGUCGAACGGAAAGGCCCCUUUGGGGGUACUCGAGUGGCGCACGGGUGAGUAACACGUGAGUAACCUGCCCUUGACUUCGGGAUAACUUCCGGAAACUGGGGCUAAUACCGGAUAGGAAUCCUUGCUGCAUGGUUGGGGUUGGAAAGCUUCGGCGGUUUUGGAUGGACUCGCGGCUUAUCAGCUUGUUGGUGGGGUAGUGGCUUACCAAGGCUUUGACGGGUAGCCGGCCUGGGAGGGCGACCGGCCACAUUGGGACUGAGAUACGGCCCAGACUCCUACGGGAGGGAGCAGUGGGGAAUAUUGCACAAUGGGCGGAAGCCUGAUGCAGCAACGCCGCGGGCGGGAUGACGGGCUUCGGGUUGUAAACCGCUUUCAGCAGGGGCGAAGCUUGUGGUGACGGUACCUGCAGAAGAAGCACCGGCUAACUACGUG
rnacentral:rRNA from 1 species